AGCUGCACACUAGCACACUAGGCUGCACACUAACACACUAGGCUGCACACUAACACACUAGGCUGCAUAGUAGCACACUAGGCUGCACACUAGCACACUAGGCUGCACACUAACACACUAGGCUGCACACUAACACACUAGGCUGCACAUUAUCACACUAGGCUGCACACUAACACACUAGACUGCACACUAACACACUAGGCUGCACACUAACACACUAGGCUGCAUACUAACACACUAGCACACUAACACACUAGGCUGCACACUUACACACUAGGCUGCAUACUAGCACACUAGGCUGCAUACUAACACACUAGGCUGCAUACUAGCACACUAGGCUGCAUACUAACACACUAGGAUGCACACUAACACACUAGGCUGCACACUUACACACUAGGCUGCACACUAGCACACUAGGCUGCACACUAACACACUAGGCUGCACACUUACACACUAGGCUGCAUACUAGCACACUAGGCUGCAUACUAACACACUAGGCUGCAUACUAGCACACUAGGCUGCACACUAGCAAACUAGGCUGCACACUAACACACUAGGCUACACACUAACACACUAGGCUGCACACUAACACUGUAGACUGCACACUAGCACACUAGGCUGUAUACUAACACACUAACACACUAGGCUGCACACUAACACACUAACACACUAGGCUGCACACUAACACACUAACACACUAGGCUGCACACUAACACACUAGGCUGCAUACUAACACACUAAGCUGAACUCUAACACACUAGGCUGCACACUAACACACUAGGCUGUAUACUAACACACUAGGCUGGACACUAACACACUAACACACUAACACCCUAGGCUGCAUACUCGCACACUAACACAAUAGGCUGCACACUAACACACUAGGCUGCACACUAACACACUAGGCUGCACACUAACACACUAAGCUGCAC
ensembl:lncRNA